rnacentral:lncRNA from 10 species
AUUUGGAAGCUGGGAAGUCAUGCCCUGAAGUUUCGAGAGAUGGGUAUAAGGUUAAGAAAUCGUAGAAGCAUUGGGAAAGGCUUCCAACAAAAUGUAGAAUAGCCUGGAAGGAGUUUGGGGAGAAUUAUUUCAGCUAUGUCAUCCUAAGAAUUGUAAGCGUCCUAUUUUUUAAGUAUAAAAAUACGUAUUUUAUCACAAGUAAUAUGUUAGUAACCAUCUGAUAGCUUUAACAAUUAAUAAUCAUUUGUAUUCAUUUGGCACCUUUCUUCCAAAGAGCUCAAAGCACUUUACAUUUGUUAUCUCAUUAAUUCCCAACACUGUCCCUGUGGGAAGGUAAUAAGUAUUUUAACAUUUAAAUGUUUAUCUUU